AGCCUGACAAUUACCCAUAUAGCUGGGUCAGCAGGCUUAGUCUUUUGUGAUCGUUGGGAUCUCGUAACAGGUCUCCUGCUGAGUCUUAUCUCAUCUGAAGGAUUUGACAUCCUUACCAUAUAACCGAUGGGCAAUAAAUGAUCUCGAUGGAGAGUUUUGAUGACCUUCAAUCCAUGUUCUGGUUUGACUUUGUACACUGGCAGGUUAGGAAACUUUUCCACAACUACAUAAGGUGUUGAAUUCCAUCUAUCUUGUAGUUUAUGUUUGCCUUUUAGUCCAACAUUUCGGAUGAGGAUUCUGUCUCCCUUUUCUAAAGGUAAGUCUCUCACACGGUUGUCAUAGUGUGCUUUGUUUUUCAGGUGACUUUUGGUGGCGGCGUCACCUGCGAGUUGGUAUGCGUUCUGCAGCUCUUUUCUCAUCCUGUCUACAUACUGUUGGUAUGAGGUCUCACUUUCACCAUUUGGCGAAAUGCCAAAGCAGAUAUCAAUGGGUAACCUUGCUUCUCUUCCAAACAUGAGAUAGUAAGGUGAAUAUCCUGUGGAGUCAUUUCUCGUGCAAUUGUAUGCAUGUACCAGAUAAGUGAUAUACUGGCUCCAACACUGUUUCUUCAAGGUGUCCAAAGUACCUAGCAUUGCCAGAAGAGUUCUGUUAAAUCUUUCAGGUUGUGCAUCACCUUGGGGGUGGUAAGGGGAUGUGCGUGACUUCCGGACUCCCAGCAUGGACAAGAGCUCCUUGAUCAAACGACUCUCAAAAUCUCGGCCUUGAUCCGAGUGUAUCCGUGCAGGUAAGCCGUAGUGCACAAAAUACUUGUCCCACAGCACUUUUGCAACGGUGAUGGCUCUUUGAUCCUUGGUGGCAAAAGCCUGCGCAUAACGUGUGUAGUGAUCUGUCACAACCAACACGUUAGCAAUACCCUUUGAAUCAGGUUCGAUCUGCAAAAAGGUCGAUGCAGACUAGAUCUAAGGGGCCAUUACUUGUUAUUUGGUUCAAGGGCGAGGCACGUUGAGGGAGUGUCUUUCGUGAAAUACAUCUUCCACAGGUUUGGAUGUACUGCUCGACCUCAAUAGUCAUCCUCGGCCAAUAGAAUCGGUCCUUGAUCAACUCAGUAGUACGUUCCAUUCCCAUGUGUCCCGACUCGUCGUGUAACGAUCUUAACACCAUGGAACGAUACCUUGUGGGCAAAACAAGUUGUCGGAUCUGUUUACCACACAAUUUCUCUUUGACUCGAUAGAGUACUUGAUCCUUUAACUCCAACCUUCGACUUUCACGGAGGAGUAACAUGGUCUCUGGGGAAUUUGUUUUGGAAUGAGUCAGCUUUUUGUUGUUCUCCAUAGCUGUCUUCAAUGGUCCAAUUGAUGGGUCCAUGUCUUGUGCUAUCUGUAUAUCUUUCAAGCUUAACUGUUCAAGUGUGUUGAUGCUCAGGUUCACAGGGAACGCAUAAGCUUCUGGGACUGCUGCGGCUGGGGCACCUAACUGAUCCACCAACCUCUCAGGUACCAUGGCUUCAUCACUCAUGCAGGCUCGUUUGCAGAGAGCUUUGAUACCAGCAGGCGGAACACUAGUCCACUCUUUGAUUUCCUCUGAUCCAUACUGUCGAGACAGCAAGUCAGCAUUGAUAUUGUGCCUACCAGGACGAUACUGAAUGGUGAAGUCAUAGGUGGCAAGGGCUGCAAGCCAGCGAUGUCCUACUGCACUGAGUUUAGCAGUUGUCAACACAUAAGUUAAUGGGUUGUUGUCUGUUCUUACAAUAAACUUAGCUCCAUACAAAUAAUCGUGAAAUUUAUCCACGACAGCCCACUUUAGUGCUAGAAAUUCUAGUUGAUGAACUGGAUAGUUAUGUUCUGAAUCUUUAAGCUUACGACUCGCAAAAGCUACUGGCCUAAGGCCCUCAGGAUAUUCUUGAUUCAGAACUGCACCUAGGCCAUUCAUACUGGCAUCCACAUGCAAGAUGUAAUGCUUUGUGGGGUCAGCAAAUGCCAAAACUGGGGCAUGAAUCAAGCAAUCACGGAUUUGCUCAAAAGCAUCUUGACAGGCUUGAGUCCAACGUUCUCCAAAAGGCUCUGAUGGUUUGAAAUAUGCUUUGUUGGAGUCUACUUUCUUCUUGAAUUGGGGGUCUCGCCAUGUUGGUGCGUAACCCCUAGUGAGCUCGGAAAGAGAGCGAACAAUAGAGGAGUAGUUUGCGAUAAACCUCCGAUAGUAACUGCAAAAUCCGAGAAAGGACUUGAGUUGUUUCAGAUUUGUGGGUUCUUUCCAAUGUCUUACAACUGCUACCUUUUCUGGAUCAGUGGCUAUUCCAUUGGCAGAAACAAUGUGACCCACAUACUUAACUUGAGGUUGACAAAACUGACAUUUGUCAAUAGAGACCUUCAGUCCAAUCUCCUGGAGUCUGUCCAGUACUUUGAGAAGGCGUCACUCGUGUUCUUCAAGCGUUUUGCCAAAAAUGAUGAUGUCAUCCAAAUACACAAGGGCUUCUAGGAGAUGCAAGUCUCCCACCGCUUUUUCCAUUAGGCGUUGGAAGGUUGCAGGUGCUCCUGUGAUUCCCUGUGGCAUCCGUUCAAAUUGAUAGAAACCGAGUGGACAAAUGAACGCUGUCUUUUCUUUGUCUUCCUCAGUCAUCUGAAUUUGGUAGUAUCCACUACGCAGAUCCAACACUGAAAACCAUUGGCUUCCUGACAAGGAGUCCAGUGCGUCAUCAAUGCGGGGCAUUGUGUACUGGUCUGGUGUUGUGCGGUUAUUCAGUGUUCUGUAGUCAAUACAGAUUCUUACUGUCCCAUUCUUUUUGCGGACUACAACGAUGGGUGAGGCAUAAGGGCUGCGGGACUCUGUGAUAAUUCCAGCGGCUAGCAGUUGCUGUAUAUGCCGCCUCACAUCAUCUACUGUAUGUCAGCAGGGGCAAGUCUUCUUGACCUUUCUCUGAAAGGUCGGUCGUCAUGCAGCCGAAUGCGAUGUUCGACCCCUGUGGCCAAACCAACAUCCCAUUCAUGCAAUGAGAACACAUUCCGCCUCUCAGAUAACUUCUGCCUAAGUCGAAUCUUCCACUCUUUGGGAAUAGGAGAGUCCCCAAAAUUGAAAAGGUUUGGGUCAAGCGUUUCAGCUGUGAGCUUGGAGGGUCGGAUUGGGGUAACUGUAUCUACAGCAUACAUCUCAGCAAUAACAGUCUCUACUGGUAUUGAAGUUGUCUUUUUGGAUUCAUUGUGAAUGAGCACAGUGAAACUAUUACUGUCUAUAUCUGCAUCAGAAAGCACACCUGGCUGUACCAGCACUCCAGCAGGAAGUAACUGGUCAGAGGGUGAAUCAAUCAGCACAAGGUUUUUGGAUGGGGCACACUGUGUCUACUUUGCAGGUGGCAUAAUACUUUGCACCUGGAGCAAUAGUGAGCGGACAGGGUCCUUUCCACUUUACCAGUCCCAAGACAUCUGACUUUGUUCGCUGCUCUUUUGCUUUAACUGGAGCAUAUACAGACUGAAUUCUCAGGGAGUGAGCAACACUUUGGUCACCGUUUUCCUUCAUCAGCUCCCAUAAUCGUCGGAACAGAGAUGUGUUGGUUCCAACUAACACAGGAGUUUGCUGUUGGUUCUUUGGAUCGGGACAAAUCAAAGCUAGCACGUCUACACAUCCAGAUACACCAGUGAUCUCCUUGGUGAACUCCAUCUCCACAACAACGUACCCUUUAUACGGAUACUCUGUGUCAGCGAGUCCCCACAGUCCAAGGCGGGAGAGAGGUUUUAUGGGGACAUCUGACAAGUGUGUGUUAUACCAGCUUUCAAAAAUAAUAGACACAUUAGACCCACUGUCAAUGAGAGCUUCACAGACCACAUCAUUAACUUUGAUGGUGUGAAUAAAGGAUGGACCUACCAGACCCUCAGGUAAGUCAGCAUCAUUCUCUGAAACUUCCAUUUUGUUGGUUCUAGCCACACAUUGUUCUUCUUUUGUGCGCUUUGUUUCUCCUUCACUUGGGUCAGGCCCUCCUCGCACCAGGCGCAAAAGUUUUCUUAUGACUUUCUGGGGGUUCUCAGAUGCAGUGCAUCGGGUGGCAAUGUGACCUUUCUCCCCGCAUCUGUAACAAAAGAACUCAUCACUUUGUUUGGGAGACGACACUUUGGUAGGUGCCGACUUGUGACUUGGAGCAACUUUGUGCCGGUGGGGUGGCAUUGAAUGAGUUCUUGGGGGGUCUGAUGUGUACUUCACAGUCAUUACACUCAUUUUGUCUUCCAGUGCUUUCACUUGUCUUCUUAGUGCGUGUAGUUCACUCGGCUGUUCAAACUUUUGUUUUUGCUUUUCAGAAGAAGUAUCAGAUUGUGGCUUGAGUCGACAGCCGUUUCUUUCAUCUAACUGUACUCUCAACAAUUGAAUUUGAGCUUGCAGUUCACUUCGCGAGGGCGAUUCAAUUUCUUUCUCUUUUUCGGCUUGGACAGUGCGAACACGUUGAUGACGCACGGGUGCUACUUGGCUCUGUUUGGCUGAAUAAUGCCCUUCCUCUUCAAUUACUUCUUGUAGCAAUUUCAGGAAUGUAGGGGGGUUACUUUUCCGCUCCCUAAUUUUCAACUGAAGCAACAUCAACUCAGAGGUGGAUCCUCUGAUGAGCUGUUCCAAUCGAGCACUGUUUGCAGCGCUAACAGGUAAUCCUCCUGCUUGUACGACUUUGACAAGAGAUUUCUCUAAUCUUCUAAGAAACUCGGAUAGGCGUUCACCAGGCUGUUGGUGAAUGGCUCUGAAUGACAAGUAGAGGUCUUCUCCAGAUUCUACAGUGCCAAAAAUGCUCUCUAUAGCAUCAAUGAAAUCGUGAGGACUAGCAUCUGGUUGAGUCAGGCGUACAGCCUGAACGAUCUCAAAGGCAGGCCCUUUAAGACUCUCAAAUAUGAGUCGUCACUUCUCUUUGUCUGAGCACUCGCCUUCCUCUACUAAGAGGGUCGCUUGCUCCAACCAGUUGUCUAAAGUUUCCUCUCCAGCAGGGGUAGGUGUGACCCUUGAAAAUGUCCUUAGACGUCUAUAUGGGUAAUUGUCAGGCUCUUUGGUUUUCUUGCCCAUUAUAUCUCCAACUGCACGAAGGAUGGCUUCAGGACCACUGUUACUUUCUCCUGUGGAGGGGCACAAGCUUUGGAUAUCCUCUAUGGCUCUCCCUUCACUGUGCAAAAAGGUAUUAUCUCAGGUGGGAUUCUAGACGGGUGUGUCUCUUCACGACAUUCACAUAACACCAUCAGUGAUUGUUGUUGAGGUACUCUAUACAACAGGAGAGCAUGUCUUACAUCUAUUGCCUCUCCUUUACACCAGUUGACCAGCUCAAGUUGUGAUGGACUGCUUAUUUUGUUUGCCAUUGCUGUAUUUAGUUUGGACUUAUGUGACACGUUACGUUUGUUAAUGCUCUAAAGUUGUGGGGUCAAAUUACUUUUGCCUGUUAUUAUUUACAUUGAGCAAAAUAAUCCCAGCGGUGCCUCCAUUUUAUGUAACCCAGGUCUCAUGUAGUUAAUUUAUAAAUAAUGGAGUGGUUAAUACAAUAAGACUGGGCCUGAGUUCGUGUGUUUUGUACACAAUAAUUUGGUGUGUAUAUUUCUGUUUAAUCUGUAAUAAUGACCUCCACAACUGUAUUUUAAAUAUAACACAUGAACACAAAUUUAUUUACAAUAUUUACACCCAAAAUUGAAAAUGACUCUUUUGAUGAAAAUAAUAAAUUCAAAUAAC